CGGCUGAUCCACCUGUAAGCCAGUGGGGGCUAUCCCAGGCAUAAGCUCCUGGCGGGCUGUCCCAGGCAUAAGCUCCUGGCCGGCUGUUCCACAUAACAAGGCUAGUCCAUACCAUAUAUCUCUUUCUUUUUAUUUAAUCAUUAUGUGUUGAUUUCAUCAAAUCAGUUCCGACUUGCAUUAUGAUCAAUUCAGAUAUGUCAUAUCCAUAUAAUCAUGCCAUCAAUCUCUGAUACAUAUAUAUUGACAUAACAUACUCAUGCUCAAAAUCAAAUAACAAUAUCUCAGAUAUAAUAAAUUCAUCGAUCUCAAAUCCGACGAUGCAAAACCAAUAAUGC
rnacentral:lncRNA from 1 species